rnacentral:rRNA from 1 species
GAUGAACGCUGGCGGCGUGCCUAAUACAUGCAAGUCGAGCGAACAGACGAGGAGCUUGCUCCUCUGACGUUAGCGGCGGACGGGUGAGUAACACGUGGAUAACCUACUUAUAAGACUGGGAUAACUUCGGGAAACCGGAGCUAAUACUGGAUAAUAUAUUGAACCGCAUGGUUCAAUAGUGAAAGACGGUUUUGCUGUCACUUAUAGAUGGAUCCGCGCCGCAUUAGCUAGUUGGUAAGGUAACGGCUUACCAAGGCAACGAUGCGUAGCCGACCUGAGAGGGUUGACGACCACACUUGAACUGGGGCACGGUCCAAGCUCCUACGGGAGGGAGGAGGAGGGAAACUUCCGCAAAUGGCGGAAACCUUGCGGAACAACGCCGCGUGAGUUAUAAAGGGCUUCGGAUCUUAAAACUCUGUUAUUAGGGAAGAACAAGUGGGUAAGUAACUAUGCACGUCUUGACGGGACCUAAACAGAAAGGCACGGCUAACUACGUU